UUUAUAAUUUUAUUGUUAGUGUUUUCAAUUGGUAAAUUUUCUAGCUCGAAUCCCUAACCGUUAACUUGUGCUGAAAUUUGAGUUCUAUUAAAUUUCUUUGAUUCAUUCGAGAAUCUAUUUGGUUGUCUAAAAAUUGUAGGAAAAGAAUGAUGUAUUGGAGAGGAUUUUGGGAUUGAAUUGGCUUUGUGUGUGUGUAUAUAUUCAAUUGCUUAAAUUUCUAGCUUAAAUUGUUAAUUUGUGUUGGAUUUUGAACUCGGUUAUCUUGUACAUUCUGGUUUGAUUUGAGCUUAAAUUAUUGGUUGAUUUUGCUAUUGGAUUUUGGAUGAAAAAUAGUAAGUAAAGCUUGAAUUUUUAGGUUCUAUGUGGAAAGAUUAAGUCCUGGAAUUUGAUCUAGAUCUUGAAUUUCUAUAGCUAAGGAUUUAUUGCAUUAUUCAGAUCUACUCACUCGAUGAUGAUUUUGGGUUUUAAUGAUAGUUCAAAAUGGAAGUAUUCAGGGCUUUAGAUUGUGAAUUUUGAAUCUUUUAAGGAUGAUAAAAAGAUCUUUCGGUACUGUUCUUUAUAGCCAAAUUCUUCAGAUUAGAUUGAUGUUAUUUAUACUUCAGUGACUUGAUGUGAGAAUUCGUGUGCUUUGUAUUGCCAAUGUGCUAUUAGUAAUGUCUUUGAUUGUGUUUGCAAUGCCUUUUUCAUGUGGAGGUUCAAACCAUUUAUGCAAAAAGAACCUGCGGGGCUUGAAGGCCAUUCGCUUGAUUGAUCAUAAAGGACUAAGAGGCAUUGGGAGAGGAACAAUAACUUACUGCUUGUGUUAUAGUAAUGGGAGCAUCCAAGCUUGUACAAACCCUCUUGUCUCAAGCACAUGGAGGAGGUACUACUUAGUUGGAACCAAAUCUAUUUCUGAUUAAGGAUCAGCUGUAAUAUAGGUUUCCCCAAUGGAUACAUUGAUUUCUCAUUAAGAAGACAAUUCAAAUCGGAUAAUACAGUUACGGAGAGUCUGAAGCUCAUUCAUCAUUAGAAAUUCUCUUUCACAAAAAUAUGGCUUUUAGCUACUCAAUUUGAGAUCCGGCAGUUGAAUCUCAAGGCUGCACUACAGAUCCUACGCAAUGCAAUUGGAAAAACUCCUAAAGAUAAGGCAAGAUAGUGGUGUCCUUGGCCAUUACUGAGGCAACUUAUACGCCCAUGUUGCACUCUCGCAUUUUUACCGAGACUGAAAAGUAUUGUGACCAGGAAUUUACCACUUGCAAGGAGGAUCAGCCAUUGUUUGUCCAAUUUUGUGCAAAUGAUCCAGACAUUUGUUAGAGGCUGCAAAGAGAGUGGAACCUUUUUGUGACUAUGUUGACAUCAAUUUGGGGUAAUAAUUUCUUUUUUGUCUUUUCACUAUUAGUGCC